rnacentral:rRNA from 1 species
AGAGUUUGAUCAUGGCUCAGGAUGAACGCUAGCUACAGGCUUAACACAUGCAAGUCGAGGGGAAACGACAUCGAAAGCUUGCUUUUGAUGGGCGUCGACCGGCGCACGGGUGAGUAACGCGUAUCCAACCUGCCCACCACUUGGGGAUAAACCUUGCGAAAGUAAGACUAAUACCCAAUGACGUCUCUAGAAGACAUCUGAAAGAGAUUAAAGAUUUAUCGGUGAUGGAUGGGGAUGCGUCUGAUUAGCUUGUUGGCGGGGUAACGGCCACCAAGGCGACGGAUCAGUAGGGGUUCUGAGAGGAAGGUCCCCCACAUUGGAACUGGAGACACGGUCCAAACUCCGUACGGGAGGCA